rnacentral:rRNA from 1 species
CCCCUAGAUGUUCUGGGCCGCACGCGCGCUACACUGAACAGUUCAACAAGUCUUAACCUUGGCCGAUAGGUCUGGGUAAUCUUUGAACGCUGUUCGUGAUUGGGAUAGACCUUUGCAAUUAUGGGUCUUCAACGAGGAAUUCCUAGUAAACGCAAGUCAUCAGCUUGCAUUGAUUACGUCCCUGCCCUUUGUACACACCGCCCGUCGCACCUACCGAUUGAAUGGUCCGGUGAAAUCUCGGGACGGCGGCUUGGUCGCUUGCGUCCGACUGCUGAAACUUGAUUAAACCAUAUCAUUUAGAGAAAGGUGAAGUCGUAACA